rnacentral:rRNA from 1 species
GAUGAACGCUGGCGGCGUGCCUAAUACAUGCAAGUAGAACGCUGAAGCUUGGUGCUUGCACCGAGCGGAUGAGUUGCGAACGGGUGAGUAACGCGUAGGUAACCUGCCUCUUAGCGGGGGAUAACUAUUGGAAACGAUAGCUAAUACCGCAUAAAAGACGAUAUCGCAUGAUAUUGAUUUGAAAGGUGCAAUUGCAUCACUAAGAGAUGGACCUGCGUUGUAUUAGCUAGUUGGUGAGGUAACGGCUCACCAAGGCGACGAUACAUAGCCGACCUGAGAGGGUGAUCGGCCACACUGGGACUGAGACACGGCCCAGACUCCUACGGGAGGCAGCAGUAGGGAAUCUUCGGCAAUGGACGGAAGUCUGACCGAGCAACGCCGCGUGAGUGAAGAAGGUUUUCGGAUCGUAAAGCUCUGUUGUAAGAGAAGAACGAGUGUGAGAGUGGAAAGUUCACACUGUGACGGUAACUUACCAGAAAGGG